rnacentral:lncRNA from 1 species
UAUAUUGUAAAAGAAUAUUAAUUUUAAAAAUAAUAAUGCAAUUACUUUAUCUAAAUAAUAUACAUUAUAAAACAAUAAAUAUGGAACUAGUAUAUAUAUUAUAUACAAGUAUGAGUAUGAGAUGAAGCUUAGGGAAUGAUUGUUCCUAAAUACUGUUUAUUUCAAUGGACAGUUGAAAUGUGUACUUGGGCAUUGUUUCACUAGAAAAGGGGG